GAAAGACAGUUCUUAUUCUUGGUUAGGGCAGCUCAGCAUUAUAAGAUGUCAAUUCCCCCUACAUUAAUUUAUAAAUUUAAUGCAGUACAAAAAAAUACUAACAAACAUUUCUCUGGAGUUAGUCAAGUUGAUAAUAAAGUUCACGUAGAAAAGCAAACAUGCAAGAAUUAUUAAUGGAAGUCCUUUUCUUUAGGAUAACUGGGAUGACGAUGAUGAUGAAAAAAAAGAGGAAGCAGAAGUAAAACCAGAGGUAAAAAUUUCAGAAAAGAAAAAAAUAGCAGAGAAGAUAAAAGAGAAAGAACGGCAACAGAAGAAAAGGCAAGAAGAAAUUAAAAAGAGGUUAGAAGAACCUGAAGAACCUA
rnacentral:sRNA from 1 species